rnacentral:rRNA from 1 species
AGUGAACGCUGGCGGUAGGCCUAACACAUGCAAGUCGAACGGCAGCACAAUAAGAGCUUGCGCUUACCGGUGGCGAGUCGCACGCGUGUGUGAUGUACGUCGAAAUCUACUUUUGCGUGGGGUAUAACGUAGAGACACUUACUCUAAUAGCGCAUCGGCGCUACGGCUGAGAGCAGGAGAUCUUCGGACCUUGCGCUAGUGAGUGAGCAGAUGUCGGAUUAGCUAGUGGGGGGGGUAAAGGCCCACCGAGGCGACGAUCCGUAGCUGGUCUGAGAGGAUGAUCAGCCACACUGGAACUGAGACACGGUCCAGACUCCUACGGGAGGCAGCAGUGGGGAAUAUUGGACAAUGGGCGCAAGCCUGAUCCAGCCAUACCGCGUGGGUGAAGAAGGCCUUCGGGUUGUAAAGCCCUUUUGUUGGGAAAGAAAAGCAGCAGGUUAAUACCCCGCUGUUCUGACGGUACCCAAAGAAGAAGCACCGGCUAACUUCGUG